rnacentral:rRNA from 1 species
AACUUUUAAGUCAAAAGGCUUAAAUGUUUAUAAAAGACGAGAAGACCCUAUAGAUCUUUAUUUAAUUAAAAUUUUAAUAAUUUAGGAUUAUUUUAAUUUAAAUUUUUAAUUAAAUUUUAUUGGGGUAAUAUAAAGAUUAAAUAAAUUCUUUUUAUUGAUUACAUURAUUUAUGAAUAUAUGAUCCAAUAUUAUUGAUUAUAAGAUUAAGUUACCUUAGGGAUAACAGCGUAAUUUUUUUGGAGAGCUCAUAUCGAUAAAAAAGUUUGCGACCUC